CAAUACUUUCAACCAGGUUCAGCCUCAGUAAUUCCAAAGGAAACUUCUCAAUAAAUCUCAUUCUUCUUACCGCUCUGUUCCAUGCAUGACUUUUCUGCGUUGUGGAGCAGCCAGCAAGCAUGACCACACUCCUGCCCCAGCCCCGGAUAUUAUGCUGUGGCACCUGGACCCUUGAGCUUUUGAUGCAAAGCAGACUAAUUAUCACUCUGACAGACAACAACAAUUAAAAGAAAAUAACCUCACAAAAUAUCAUUUCUUCAAUCAUUUUGUCCCACUGCACUGCUCAAUACAAGACUGCAUGACAAGGAAAUGUAUCAUAAUAUCUACUAUUAACAUAAUGCAUAUUGAAACACCAAAAUGAAGAUGAAUAGCAACUAAGGCAACUUAAAUUCUAGUUCAGCACACAAAAUAGAUAGAAGCAUGCUGUACUCUUAUUUUAAGCAGCUGGAGGUUUGUACCUGUGCAUGCACCUUUGCUUUCCUGAAGCAGUCCAUGUCAUGUGAGGUUGACCUUGGAAUGCCAGUAGUCACUUAAGUGCAGAGGAAUGGAGCUGCCACCUCAGCACUGGGAAGCAAAACAGCAGGACAGAGGAGCAACGGCUGCAGUGAGGGCAG
ensembl:lncRNA